GAUGAACGCUAGCGGGAGGCCUAAUACAUGCAAGUCGAGCGGUAGAGUGACUUCGGUUGCUUGAGAGCGGCGAACGGGUGAGUAACGCGUACACAAUCUACCUUUAAGAGGGGAAUAGCCCUGGGAAACUGGGAUUAAUGCCCCAUGGCAUCACGAGACGGCAUCGUUUUGUGAUUAAAGCUGAGGUGCUUAGAGAUGAGUGUGCGUCUGAUUAGCUAGUUGGUGCGGUAACGGCGCACCAAGGCGACGAUCAGUAGGGGGCGUGAGAGCGUGGACCCCCACACGGGUACUGAGACACGGACCCGACUCCUACGGGAGGCAGCAGUAAGGGAAAUAUUGGUCGAAUAGGAGGAAACGUA
rnacentral:rRNA from 1 species